rnacentral:lncRNA from 1 species
GGGCCAGAGCUUCUCAUGCAGCCUGCACCAGCGCCGGGUCGGAGAGUCAGAGGCCACCCUGAGAUGGACCGAGAUCUUCAGUUGGGGAGGCGCCUCCGGUGAGCUUGCGGCCAGAUGCCCCCUCAGUAGUCCUCCGCAACAGGUGCCGCGCAGCCGAGUGGCGGGCUAGCAUACCGCCUGCCCGCAAUUCGGCCAGGCCUCGAGCCUGCUCCGCCUUCCCGCUGCGGUAGCGCCGCCGGGGAAACGCCGCCACGGGCUGCAUGGGCAGCGCUCGCGCCCCGCCGCUGAGCCGCCGGGGAGCCGUCCAGUCUUCGAAUCCCAGCUUGGUGGCAUGCAUGUUUAGUCCCAGCUACACAGCAGGGAGGCUGAGGCUGAAGGAAUACUUGAGCCCAGGAAUUCAAGACUAGCCUGCACAACAUAAGCCUCCUCUGUCACCUGGGCUGGAGUGCGAUGGUGUCAUCUUGGGUCACUGCAGCUUCUGCCUCUUAGGUUCAAGUGAUUCUCAUGCCUCAGCUUCCCAAGUAGCUGGGAUUACAGGCAUGCGCCACCAGGCCCAGCAAAGUUUUGUAUUUAUAGUAGAAAUGGGGUUUCACUGUGUUAGCCAGGUUGUUCUCAAACUCCUCACCUCAGGUGAUCACCUGCCUCUGCCUCCCAAAGUGCUGGGAUUAAAGGAAUGAGCCACUGGGUCGGGCAAACACAGAGAUAAAUUGAAAGCAUAUUUAAAUGUUUCCUGUUUCAUCAGUGUUUUGUCUCCUCAGUACCAAAUAAAACAAUAUGAUAACAUCCAACAAUAGCUUCACAUAAUGAAAUAAAAUUGUUUGAAUACAAAGAUAGGGCAACAUGGCUAAUGCCUUUAUGAAAUGCAUUUGGAAUUUGGAUUCUGAAGAUUGUAUUGUGAAAUUGUAGUUGCCACUUAACAAAUGUAAUAGCAAUUGCUAUUGCUGCCUGCUUCAAAAACACAUGGAUCCAAUGUAGAAACAACACACUGAAAGCUACAUUUCAUAUAAUUUCAAUUACUAAAAUUGGCCUUGUCAAGAACAUGAGUAAUCUAAAUUGGGUGUGUGAACUUAUAGGUCCAUAAACCUACUCCUCAAUUAAAGAAGAAAAUCAAAGGGUUGUUAUUGUUACUCUUCCCAUGUUGGCAAGUGAAGCCAAGCACAAUAUUAUCGCUGUUGUUUUCCGUUUUUUCCUUUUCUGCAAAUAUAUUUUCCAAUAUAUUCUGAAGCAAGUGGUGAGCAAAUAUAUUCUCCAAUAUAUUCUGAAGCAAGUGGUGAGGGAGGCUGACUUCAGUUAUUUUGUAGAGUCUCAGAACUUACAUUUAAGGUGUUGCCAGAUGACUAUUUAUAAGGAAACAGAAGUUAACUCUUCUGCAAUAGUUUCUGCUAGUUAUAAAACAUCUUUGAUUGCACACUUAACACCAACCCAGUCAUCUUUAUUUAAAGAAUGCAUUCAAGGCUGGGUGUGGCUGCUCAUGCCUAUAAUCCCAACAGUUUAAGAGGCUGAGGCAAGAGUAUUGCUUGAACUCAGGAGUUCAAGACCAGCCUGAAUACCAAAGCAAGAUGCUAUCUUUAUAAAAAAUUUGAAAAUAUUAGGCAUGGUGGUAUGUGCUUAUAAUUCCAGGUACUUUGGAGGCUGACAUUGCUGAGACCAGCUCAGUCGGGGAGACCCUAACCCAGUGGCGCUAGAGGAAUUAAAGACACACACACAGAAAUAUAGAGGUAUGAAAUGGGAAAUCAGGGGUCUCACAGCCUUCAGAGCUGAAAGCCCUAAACAGAGAUUUACCCACAUAUUUAUUAACAGCAAACCAGUCAUUAGCAUUGUUUCUAUAGAUAUUAAAUCAACUAAAAUAUCCCUUAUGGGAAACAAAGGGAUGGGCCAAAUUAAAGGAAUCGGUUGGGCUAGUUAACUGCAACAAGAGCAUGUCCUCAAGGCACAGAUCGCUCAUGCUAUUGUUUGUGGCUUAAGAAUGCCUUUAAGACGUUUUCUGCCCUGGGCAGGCCAGGUGUUCCUUGCCCUCAUUCCGGUAAACCCACAACCUUCUAGCGUGGGCAUUAGGGCCAUUAUGAACAUGUUACAGUGCUGCAGAGAUUUUGUUUAUGGCCAGUUUUCGGGGCAGUUUAUGGCCAGAUUUUGGAGGGCUUGCUCCCAACAGACAUGGUAGGAUUGUUUGACUCCAAGAAGUCAUGGCUGCAUUCAACUAUGAUCACACCGUGCAAUCCAGGCUAGGCAACAGAGCAAGACCCUGUCUCAAAAAAAAAUUGCAUUU